UCUAUAACACACUUCAAGCAAAAAUGGAAACCACCACCACCUCUGCCGCCGCCACCACCUCCACCACCGAUAACACCGGCGGUCUUCACUCCGUCGAGAUGAAUCCACGACACCACAUACUCAACCGCGCAUUUGCACUUAUUUACCUUUUUGCCAUCCUAGUUCUUUUCUAUAACCAUAUACUAAACCUCCUAAAUUCCACAAAUUCCUUUAUAACUUUCUCCAUAUCAUUUUCCAUUUUAAUUUCAGAUUUAAUCUUAGCCUUCAUGUGGACAACCAGUCAACCUUUUCGUAUGCGUCCACUAACACGUAAACAAUAUCCCGAAAAAAUAACAAAAAACUUUAGUAACGAAAUUAAUAAUUUUCCAGCACUCGAUAUAUUUAUUUGUACGGCAGAUCCUUAUAAGGAGCCACCGUUAAACGUCGUUAACACGGCGUUAUCAGUUAUGGCCUACGAUUAUAAUCCGAUUGAAAAAAUAUCGAUUUACGUAUCGGACGAUGGAGGAUCGGAUCUUACGUUAUUUGCUUUUAUGGAAGCUGCAAAAUUUGCUGCAUAUUGGUUGCCUUUUUGUAGGGAAAAUAAAAUAAUUCAAAGGUCUCCAAAUGCAUAUUUCAAUUCUAAUUACAAAGAAAAUUCUGAGACAAAGAAAAUCAAGUUGAUGUACGAAAACAUGAAGAAAAGGAUAGAAGAAGUGAUUGAGAGGGGAAAAGUGGGUGAAGAUUAUAUUAACAAUGAGGAAGAGCUUCAAGCUUUUACCAAAUAUUGGACGCUUGGAUUUACUCGACAUAAUCAUCCUUCUAUUAUUCAGGUUUUGUUAGAAAGUGGCAAAGAUAAAGACAUGACAAGUCACGGGAUGCCAAAUCUUAUUUAUUUUUCAAGAGAAAAAAACACAAGUUCCCCUCAUCAUUUUAAAGCAGGUGCCCUCAAUGCAUUGCUUCGAGUAUCGGGAAUUAUGACAAAUGCACCAAUAAUAUUGACACUUGAUUGUGAUAUGUACUCUAAUGAUCCAUCAACGCCACAACGGGCUUUAUGUUACUUCUUGGACCAAACAUUACGGCCCAAUUUAGCUUACGUUCAGUUUCCUCAAACUUUUCAUGGGCUUAACGAAGCAGAUAUUUAUGCAAAUGAGAUAAAAGCCCUAUUUUUUACUAAUCCAAUGGGCAUGGAUAGGCUUAAUGGGCCUAAUUAUGUUGGAACUGGAUGUUUUUUUCGUUGUCGGGCUUUUUACGGAACUCCAUCUUCGUUCGAGCAGCCCGAAAUUCCAGAACUUUUUCCAGAUCAUAUUGUGAAUAAGCCCAUUAAGGCCCAAGAAAUUUUGCGGCGAGUCCAUUAUGUAGCAAGUUGCAACUAUGAGAGUGAAAGUAAUUGGGGUUCCAAGGUGAGCUUUAGUUCACAUUUUAAUUGCUAUAUUUAAUCUCCUUUGCUACAAACUAACAAUUUCAAAAUUAUGUAGAUUCCUAAAAGGCCUGCAUUUUUAGGAGAUAAACCAAUUUCUCUCUAUGAUGUGGUCAGCCAAAACAAGAGAUGGAAUGUGUGCUCUCUCAAAAUAUAGCCCAUUAACUUUUGGGGUUCAGUCCAUGGGCCUUGUUAUGGCCCAUUGUUAUUCUCACUAUGCAUUCUCGCCCAUUUGGUCAAUACCACUUACUCUAUAUGCCUUCAUCCCUCAACUUACUCUUCUCAAUGGGGUUACCAUCUUUCCAAAGGUUUCAGACCCUUGGUUUUUCUUGUAUAUUUUUAUGUUCCUUGGAGCGUAUGGACAAGAUUGCUUGGUUUUUAUGUCUAAUGAAGGGACAUUUAAAAGGUGGUGGAGUGACCAAAGAAUGUGGAUGAUAAGGGGAUUAACAUCUCACUUAUUUGGAACAAUUGAGUACUUAACUAAACACUUAGGCAUAUCGACACAAGGGUUCAAUGUAACAAGUAAAGUAGUCGAUAAUGACCAAGGUAAAAGGUAUCAUCAAGGAAUUUUCGAGUUUGGGGUUGUUUCGCCUAUGUUUGUGAUACUAGCAACUACAUCAAUCAUCAAUUUAGUAGCAUUUCUCAAAUCAUUAGCACAAAUUAUCAAGGGUGAUCAAAAUUUGGAUGGAAUAUUUAUCCAAAUGUUUAUUGCUGGUUUUGUUGUUAUAAAUUGUUUGCCAAUUUAUGAAGCUAUGGUUUUGAGAAGUGAUAAAGGAAGAAUGCCUACAAGGAUCACUAUUUUCUCAACAUUUCUUGCUUGUAUUCUCUAUAUGGCAUUUGCUGUUCUUCUAGGAAAUAUGUAAUAGCAAAGUUUUUUU